rnacentral:rRNA from 1 species
GUCAAAGCGUUCAUUAAAGUCGAGUUGGCUUAGGGAUACGUUCGUUGGGUAGGGGAGCGUUCUGUAAGCCUGUGAAGGUGUGUCGUGAGGCAUGCUGGAGGUAUCAGAAGUGCGAAUGCUGACAUAAGUAACGAUAAAGCGGGUGAAAAGCCCGCUCGCCGGAAGACCAAGGGUUCCUGUCCAACGUUAAUCGGGGCAGGGUGAGUCGACCCCUAAGGCGAGGCCGAAAGGCGUAGUCGAUGGGAAACGGGUUAAUAUUCCCGUACUUGGUGUUACUGCGAAGGGGGGACGGAGAAGGCUAUGUUGGCCGGGCGACGGUUGUCCCGGUUUAAGCGUGUAGGUGUGUGUUCCAGGUAAAUCCGGUUCACUUUAACACUGAGGCGUGACGACGAGGCACUACGG